rnacentral:rRNA from 1 species
UACGGAGGGAGCUAUCGUUGUUCGGAAUUACUGGGCGUAAAGCGCACGUAGGCGGCUAUUCAAGUCAGAGGUGAAAGCCCGGGGCUCAACCCCGGAACUGCCUUUGAAACUAGGUAGCUAGAAUCUUGGAGAGGUCAGUGGAAUUCCGAGUGUAGAGGUGAAAUUCGUAGAUAUUCGGAAGAACACCAGUGGCGAAGGCGACUGACUGGACAAGUAUUGACGCUGAGGUGCGAAAGCGUGGGGAGCAAACAGG